rnacentral:rRNA from 1 species
CAGCCGCCGCGGGAAUACGAAGGGGGCUAGCGUUGCUCGGAAUGACUGGGCGUAAAGGGCGCGUAGGCGGCAUACACAGUCAGACGUGAAAUUCCCGGGCUCAACCUGGGGGCUGCGUUUGAUACUUGGUUGCUUGAGUGGGGAAGAGGGUCGUGGAAUUCCCAGUGUAGAGGUGAAAUUCGUAGAUAUUGGGAAGAACACCGGUGGCGAAGGCGGCGACCUGGUCCUUUACUGACGCUGAGGUGCGAAAGCGUGGAGAGCAAACAGGAUUAGAUACCCGGGUAGUCCCUGUCUCUUAUAC